rfam:Hordeum vulgare subsp. vulgare, WGS project CAJW01000000 data, contig: morex_contig_2215886
AUAUUACUCCAUCCAUCCGAAAAUACUUGUCAUAGGAAUGGAUGUAUAUAGAUGUAUUUUAAUUCUAUAUACAUCCAUUUUUAUUCAUUUGUGCGACAAGUAAUUCCAGACGAAUGGAGUAAUAU